rnacentral:misc_RNA from 1 species
GAGAGUCUGGUGGUAUUUCUUGUUGUAAGGGAGGUGAGGUGCCUUUUUAAAUAAAGCAUUAUUAAUUGUGAAAAUGGUUUUUGUUUUUGGUAAUUAGCAGAAAUUGCAGUGGUUGACUUAACUAUGCUGAUAAUUGAAGUUUCUGCAAGCUAUGUACUGUUAUUACCUUAGUCAGUUGCUUAACUGAAUGGUGUAACUUUUAUGAGUAAUAGUCAGGAUGUAUAUUUUCUCCAGCUAUUGGAUGGUAAAAACAGAACUGCAUGAUGCAUUUUUCAUGCCUAGUCUCUAAUUUGUGGACUUCUCUAUCAAUAUGUAUGCACAUAUGAACAAUUUCUUUUUCCCCAUCUAUGAUGAGCACUUUCUGAUCAAGGUGAUGCGACUUUGUGAGGCCUUUGAUUUAUACGUUGUAUUAAUCUAUUCAGUUUAUUAGCUGCAAAAACUCGGUUUUCAAUAUUCGUAUUCUGUAAACUUUGUCUCUAUUCCACUAACCAUGGGUACCAAAACUAUGGGGUUAUAUUAAUAUGGUUCAUGAAUAUAACUUGGUUACAGGUGAGGGAAGGUGGG